AACGAACGCUGGCGGCAUGCCUAACACAUGCAAGUCGAACGAGACCUUCGGGUCUAGUGGCGCACGGGUGCGUAACGCGUGGGAACCUGCCCUUAGGUUCGGAAUAACUCCCCGAAAGGGGUGCUAAUACCGGAUAAUGUCUUCGGACCAAAGAUUUAUCGCCUUUGGAUGGGCCCGCGUUGGAUUAGCUAGUUGGUAGGGUAAAAGCCUACCAAGGCGACGAUCCAUAGCUGGUCUGAGAGGAUGAUCAGCCACACUGGGACUGAGACACGGCCCAGACUCCUACGGGAGGCAGCAGUGGGGAAUAUUGGACAAUGGUCGAAAGCCUGAUCCAGCAAUGCCGCGUGAGUGAUGAAGGCCUUAGGGUUGUAAAGCUCUUUUACCCGGGAUGAUAAUGACAGUACCGGGAGAAUAAGCUCCGGCUAACUCCGUG
rnacentral:rRNA from 1 species